UACGGAGGGUGCAAGCGUUAAUCGGAAUUACUGGGCGUAAAGCGCGCGUCGGUGGUUUGUUAAGUUGGAUGUGAAAGCCCCGGGCUCAACCUGGGAACUGCAUCCAAAACUGGCAAGCUAGAGUACGGUAGAGGGUGGUGGAAUUCCCUGUGUAACGGUGAAAUGCGUAGAUAUAGGAAGGAACACCAGUGGCUAAAGCGACCACCUGGACUGAUACUGCCACUGAGGUGCGAAAGCGUGGGAAGCAAACAGG
rnacentral:misc_RNA from 1 species